rnacentral:rRNA from 1 species
UACGUAGGGGGCUAGCGUUGUCCGGAAUCAUUGGGCGUAAAGCGCGCGUAGGCGGCCCGGUAAGUCCGCUGUGAAAGUCAAAGGCUCAACCUUUGAAUGUCAGCGGAUACUGCCGGGCUAGAGUCCGGAAGAGGCGAGUGGAAUUCCUGGUGUAGCGGUGGAAUGCGCAGAUAUCAGGAGGAACACCAACGGCGAAGGCAGCUCGCUGGGACGGUACUGACGCUGAGGAGCGAAAGCGUGGGUAGCGAACAGG